rnacentral:rRNA from 1 species
AUUGAACGCUGGCGGCAUGCUUUACACAUGCAAGUCGAACGGUAACAGGGAGCUUGCUCCGCUGACGAGUGGCGAACGGGUGAGUAAUGCGUCGGAACGUGCCGAGUAGUGGGGGAUAACGCAUCGAAAGGUGUGCUAAUACCGCAUACGUACUGAGGUAGAAAGUGGGGGACCUUCGGGCCUCACGCUAUUCGAGCGGCCGACGUCUGAUUAGCUAGUUGGUGAGGUAAAGGCUCACCAAGGCGACGAUCAGUAGCGGGUCUGAGAGGAUGAUCCGCCACACUGGGAAGGAGACACGGCCCAGACUCCUACGGGAGGCAGAAGUGGGGAAUUUUGGACAAUGGGCGCAAGCCUGAUCCAGCCAUGCCGCGUGUCUGAAGAAGGCCUUCGGGUUGUAAAGGACUUUUGUCCGGGAGCAAAUGCCUGGUGUUAAUAGCACUGGGAGCUGAGAGUACCGGAAGAAUAAGCACCGGCUAACUACGUGCCAGCAGCCGCCGUAAAAC